GACGAACGCUGGCGGCGUGCUUAACACAUGCAAGUCGAGCGGAGCGGCGAACGGGUGAGUAACGCGUGAGUAACUGCCCCCCUCUCUGGGAUAACAGUUGGAAACGGCUGCUAAUACCGGAUAGUGGGGGAUGACUCGCGGCCUAUCAGCUUGUUGGUGGGGUCGUGGUCUACCAAGGCGACGACGGGUAGCCGGCCUGAGAGGGGGAACGGCCACAUGGGGCUGAGAUACGGCCCAGACGCCUACGGGGGGCAGCGGGGGGGAAUAUUGCACAAUGGGGGAAACACUGAUGCAGCAACGCGCGUGCGGGAUGACGGCCUGCGGGUUGUAAACCGAUUUCAGCCAUGACGCGGUAGUGGCAGAAGAAGCACCGGCUAACUACGUGCCAGCAGCCGCGGUAAUAC
rnacentral:rRNA from 1 species